UACGUAGGGACCGAGCGUUGUCCGGAAUCAUUGGGCGUAAAGAGCGUGUAGGCGGCCGUACAGGUCAGCUGUGAAAACUCGAGGCUCAACCUCGAGACGUCGGUUGAAACCGUACGGCUAGAGUCCGGAAGAGGAGAGUGGAAUUCCCGGUGUAGCGGUGAAAUGCGCAGAUAUCGGGAAGAACACCCGUGGCGAAGGCGGCUCUCUGGGACGGUACUGACGCUGAGACGCGAAAGCGUGGGGAGCAAACAGG
rnacentral:rRNA from 1 species